UACAGAGGGUGCAAGCGUUAAUCGGAAUUACUGGGCGUAAAGCGCAUGUAGGUGGAUAGACAAGUUUGAUGUGAAAGCCCUGGGCUUAACCUGGGAACGGCGUUGAAGACUGUUUAUCUAGAGUAUGACAGAGGGUCGUGGAAUUUCCGGUGUAGCAGUGAAAUGCGUAGAGAUCGGAAAGAACACCAGUGGCGAAGGCGACGACCUGGGUCUAAACUGACACUGAGGUGCGAAAGCGUGGGGAGCAAACAGG
rnacentral:rRNA from 1 species